rnacentral:rRNA from 1 species
CCCGGGCGCACGGGUGAGUAACGCGUAUGCAACUUACCUAUCAGAGGGGGAUAACCCGGCGAAAGUCGGACUAAUACCGCAUGAAGCAGGGAUCCCGCAUGGGAAUAUUUGCUAAAGAUUCAUCGCUGAUAGAUAGGCAUGCGUUCCAUUAGGCAGUUGGCGGGGUAACGGCCCACCAAACCGACGAUGGAUAGGGGUUCUGAGAGGAAGGUCCCCCACAUUGGUACUGAGACACGGACCAA